CCUCGCCUCUGCAGAACCUUUCCUGACUUCCCCUUGCAGAUAUUGGUGCCUGUUCUGCGCUCCCUGCAUACUCUACUUGAGAAGUUAUUUUAUUGCUUGUAAUUUUUAAAAAAGACUUUCUCCUCUCUAGACUGCAAGCUGUACAGACCAACUCCUUGGAGUCUGAAGUUGGGAGAAGAUCUGUGAGGUUCCUGGUUUGCCUUUGACUCACUUCAAGGCGUAGUACUUCUUACCCUGGAUGAUGUUUGAAGACAGAACUGAGACCAAAUGAAAAGUGAUGUGUCAUUAAAGUCCUUGUCCUUACAAGAUGCUUGAGGUAAAGGGGAUGUUCAAGGAAAACUGGUGAACUCUCUAGACUUAAAAGUUAGAUGAGCAAGAAGCAAAACUGGCAGAGCCAUGCCAAGGUGGGAACAUGGAGGUAGGAAGAAGGAAAAGGAAGUAACCCAGAAGCCAACUGACACUGGAGUGAAGAUUCUGGAUUCUCCUAGGCAGUGGUGUUGGGAGUCAGGCCAGGUUUUAACUAGACCUCCAAAGGGUGUGCAAGGUCAUAUCUGAUGUCUGGAAUAUGCUUAGGCUCAGUUUAUUUGUUUCUUUCAACCAGAAACCAAUACAAGCCUAAGUCAGACAGACUAAAUUGUCUCUCAUGUAAUGAACUAGAAGGUAAAUUCCCCAGUCUAAGGAUUUGUGCUCAUGUUGGAUUGGGGGUGAGCCUUUUGGGUGGGAAUGAGUCAUAGGCUACCUCUUCUAAGAAAAGAGGGUGCUGGGACAGGAAACUGGAAAAGAGGCUUCUCUGCAUGUGCCAGAUUCCAGGAGUGACAUGCUCUCUUAUUUGAAUCUAAAUUCCCCUUCCAGAUUAAUGGAGUGCUGAAGUUUGUGACAUAGGGUACACGCUCUCCUUCCUUCUGAGUUCCAGUCUUCAUUUCUUCUCUCUUGCAUGGGAAAGUCUCCAACCAUCUCACUUGAACACACACUAUCACUGGGUCCUGCAUUCUCCCUUUGGUUAUUCUACACCAUGUGUUCAACUUUGAAAAAGGUCCCUUUCAUAAACUGUUUUCAAUUACCUGACUUGACAAAGGCACCUGCUUCCUGUGCAGAUUGAGACACUGUCCCCCUAAACACACCCAGUCCUCUUUUCUUUGUGCCCAGGGCUUGUAAAAAAGGAAAGCUAAAAAUCCUUCCCCCUCUGUGGCCAGCAAGUGCAGAGACAAGAUUAGGAUGAGACAGGCAAAAACUCAAAUAAUGAUCAAAUCAAUGGAAAUCAUUGCAUAAAACUAAAACUGUAAGAAUAAAAUCAAAUAAAUAAUAAAUUAAAGAGAAGAAAUAAAAUUAGGUACAGUUGUUUCUAGGUAUCCAAGGGGGAUUGGUUCCAGGUCCUCCUGCAGAUACCAAAAGCCAUGGAUGAUCAAGUCCUUUAUAUAAAACUUCAUAGUAUUUGCAUAUAACCUCUCUCAUCCUCCUCUAUACUUUAAAUCAUCUCUAGUUAAUUUAUAAUACCUAGUACAAAGUAAAUGCUGUGUAAAUAGUUGUUAAACUGUAUUUAGGGAAUAAUGACAGAAAGGUCUGUACAGACAUUGUCCCCCUAAAAAGCUCAUUGUGAAACAAUGCAGGAACAUUCCGAGGUGAAUUGUUUGGGUUAGGAGAGAAUGAGUCCCCUGACAGGGAUUAACCAAGCGCUAACUGAAGGUGGGUGGGAGUGGCAGGAAGAGCGGUCACCGUGGGCCUGUCUUUGGGGUACAUAUUUGAUGAACUGAACUUAGUCUCUCUCUCUCUCUGCUUUCUGAUCAUCGUGUGAGCCACUUCCCUCUACCACACUUUUCUGCCAUGAUGUUGUGCCUCACCUCGAGCCCAGAGCAAUGCAGCCUGCUGUCUAUGGCCUGAGACCUCCGAAACCAAGAGCCCUCAAAGGUACUUUUCCUCCUCUGCCAUUGUUCUUUUCAGGUCUUUUAGUCACAGCAGCAAAAAGGCUGAUGAAAACAUACAUAUUUGGUACAUAUUGUCUUUGAACAUAUUCAAUCUGAA